AACGAACGCUAGCGGCGCGUCUUAAGCAUGCAAGUCGAACGGCAAGAUUGGUGCUUGCACCGAUCCUAGAGUGGCGGACUGGUGAGUAACGCGUGGGUGACGUACCCUAAGGAUGGGGAUAGCUGGUAGAAAUAUCAGAUAAUACCGAAUAUCCUUAUUGUUGGUAGAGGACAGUAAGGAAAGGAGCUUUGGCUUGCCCUAAGUAUCGGCCCGCGUACUAUUAGCUAGUUGGUGAGGUAACGGCUCACCAAGGCGACGAUAGUUAUCCGGCCUAAGAGGGUGAACGGACACAUUGGGACUGAGAUACGGCCCAGACUCCUACGGGAGGCAGCAGCUAAGAAUAUUCCGCAAUGGAGGAAACUCUGACGGAGCGACGCCGCGUGGAUGAUGAAGGCCGGAAGGUUGUAAAAUCCUUUUAAGCAAGAAGAAUAAACUUUACAGGGAAUGGUAGAGUGGUGACGGUAUUGCUUGAAUAAGCAACGGCUAAUUACGUGCCAGCCGCCGCGGUAAUAC
rnacentral:rRNA from 1 species